rnacentral:rRNA from 1 species
GGUCUAUUGGAGAUUAUGGAGCUGUGCGACAAGUGCUUUCCCAUCGCAACCUCGCGUUCGGUGUGUGGCGCCUUUGAGGGGUUUAGUGCGUCCGGUACGAGCUCCGGUUCGUCCGGCCGUAACGCCUUUUCAACUCACGGCUCUAGGAAUGAAGGAAGGGUAGUUCGGGGGGAGAACGUACUGGGGGCGUCAGAGGGGAAAAUUUCUUUAGACCGCACCAAGACGAAACUACCAGCGAAGGAUUUCUUCAAGGGAUACCUUUUCCUUCAAUCAAGAAACCAAAGGGGGGGAGAUCGAAAAUGAUUAAAAAACCAUUGUAGUCCCACUGGAAACGAUGACCCCCAUGAAUUGGGGAUUUUAUGGGCGGGCUGGGGGAGGGGUUACCCUGGGGUAGCCCCCCCCCCGUUUUACACCUUACAAUUUUUUUUUUCGCCCUUUCCGGGCCCCCCGGGAAACCCCCGCCCGUUUUUUGUUUUUUCCCCCAAAAUUUUAAGGUACAUCCCGGGGGAG